rnacentral:rRNA from 1 species
UGAGGAACAUGACCUUCGGCGGGGGAUAGCCGGCCCAACGGCCGGGUAAUACCGCGUACGACCACAUGGGGACAUCCCUGAGUGGUGAAAGCAGCAAUGCGCCGAUGGAGUGCCUCGCGGCCUAUCAGCUAGUUGGUGAGGUAACGGCUCACCAAGGCGACGACGGGUAGCUGGUCUGAGAGGAUGGCCAGCCACAUUGGGACUGAGACACGGCCCAGACCUNUACAGGG